rnacentral:lncRNA from 1 species
AUUAUUUAAUUUUGGUCCAAAUCUGUGUUGUCCAAUAUGGUAGCAACUGGCCACAUGCCACAUGUAGCUAUUAGAUGUUUGAAAUAUGAGUAGUACUAACGGAAAUGUGCUCUGCAGAAAAUACCAUAAUUCAAAAAAAAAUUUAAAAAGACUAAAAUACUAGGUUUUAUAUGACUCACAUUUUGAAGUGAUAAUAUUUUGGAUAUAUUGAAUUAAAACAUGUUAUUAAAAUUAAUAUCACUUGUUUUUGUUUACUUUUUUAUGUGACUGCUGGAAAAUUUAAAAUUAGUUGUAGCUUGCAUUAUACUUCUUUUGGAUGGAACUGAUCUAUAUCAUCACAUACAAUCAACAUUCUUAGUUAUCCAGUACCUAGCAUUCUGUAGUUCUUGAACUUUCUGGUCCUCCUAUGGAUCAAUUCAUAUACAUUUGUAUUGUUUUAAGAAUUUGAUUCUUUGAUUCAUCAAAUAUUUAUUGACUGCCUACCAUGUGUCAGACAGUAUUGUAGGUAUUGGUGAUACAGUAGUGAACAAAACGAACUAAACUCUCUGCCUUCAUGGAGAUGAGAGAAAUUACAUGUUUCUCCCAAUGCAUGUGUUAGAGAGAUUUCAAGUUAUUUUUCUGAAAUGGCCUACUAGAUUUAUGACAUUUAAGACCACCACCUGUGUGUGUUAGGGGUGGAGGUGUAGUGCUUCCCUCCUAAGAUGAUUUCAUAGAAUUGUGUUGUGGAAGAG